GAUGAACGCUCGCUACAGGCUUAACACAUGCAAGUCGCGGGGCAGCAUGGGGGUUGCUUGCAAUCCCCGAUGGCGACCGGCGCACGGGUGAGUAACGCGUAUCCAACCUGCCCUUCACCACGGGAUAACCCGGCGAAAGUCGGACUAAUACCGUAUGUUGUCCAUUGACGGCAUCCGAUUUGGACGAAAGGCUUGGCGGUGAGGGAUGGGGAUGCGUCCGAUUAGCCAGACGGCGGGGUAACGGCCCACCGUGGCUACGAUCGGUAGGGGUUCUGAGAGGAAGGUCCCCCACACUGGAACUGAGACACGGUCCAGACUCCUACGGGAGGCAGCAGUGAGGAAUAUUGGUCAAUGGGCGUAAGCCUGAACCAGCCAAGUAGCGUGCAGGAUGACGGCCCUUUGGGUUGUAAACUGCUUUUAUGCGGGGAUAAAGUGGCCCACGUGUGGGCUUUUGCAGGUACCGCAUGAAUAAGGACCGGCUAAUUCCGUG
rnacentral:rRNA from 1 species